UACGAAGGGGGCUAGCGUUGCUCGGAAUUACUGGGCGUAAGGCGCGCGUAGGCGGCUUUGCAAGUCGGGUGUGAAAUCCCCAGGCUUAACCUGGGAACUGCAUUCGAGACUGCAUUGCUAGAGUAUGGGAGAGGGAAGUGGAAUUUCCGGUGUAGCGGUGAAAUGCGUAGAUAUCGGAAGGAACAUCAGUGGCGAAAGCGACUUCCUGGACCAAUACUGACGCUCAUGUGCGAAAGCGUGGGGAGCAAACAGG
rnacentral:rRNA from 1 species